UACACAACACUGACCGACUCUGACGGCAUUAAGCCCAGGACAGGUUUAUCGGUAAGAGUAAGAGUAACCUGAAUAUAUGCUAUUGGUAACUGGUAAGGCCCACGAUCUUGCUUCUUGCUUCAGCUAAGACCAGGUGCUAUGGGGCCUGAGAGCUGGUUAUCGUUGAGAGCAAGAUGCUGCAGAUAAGUGAGGUUCAACAAGGUUUCCGGUAUUGCACCUUGAAGACAAUUGUAGGAUAUGUCGAUGUAAGAUAAUUGUUGAGCUGCACCUAUGGAUUUGGGAAUUUCACCACUGAUCCGGUUGUUCCAAAGGAUAAGGUGGUCCAGCCCAGUGAUGUUCGACAGGGUAUCUGGUAUUCCUCCGUUGAUUUGGUUAUAUGACAAGUCUAUUUCACUAAGAGCUUGCAGUUGGAAGAUCUCUGAGGGGAUUGGCCCAUCCAACAUGUUGGAUAGGCCUAAAAAUUCCAGAAAGGGAAGGUUUCCGAUGGCGCCAGGAAUUGCACCGCUAAUUUUGUUGUCAUCCAGGUACACAUUUUUAAGGUUUGUAAAAUUCGAUAUUGAUGACGGACGGGAUGACGCCGACGAGCCUGUUAUCGAAGAGGAAGAGCACAUCUAGGUAUGGAAGCUGACAUCGUGUAGAGAAAGGAAUCUCUCCGGUGAGGUUGUUGUCUCGGAGAAUGAUGAUCAAGGAGGAGCAAUUGCAGAUAUCUGGGAUUUCACCGAUGAGAUUGUUGGGAGAAAGGGAAAUGUCAGUCAUGCUUUUUAGAAGGCCAAGCGUUUCAGGGAUAACCCCUGUGAGAAGGUUGUUGUGAAGGCUCAGAAACCACAGCGGUGACAGCUUGCCAAGGUCUGGGGGAUGUUGCCGGAGAGUUGGUUGUCGCUGAGAUCAAAAUACUCAAGUGCAGACAGAUUGCUGAUCGCCAGCGAGAUGACGCCGGUGAGGUUGAAGCCAGCGAGGUCGAGGGAAAUUACACGCCCUCUUGAGUUACAUGCAACGCCAGUCCAAGUCCACAUAUGGGAGGCCCAAUUGGAAAGGUACCCUUGGACACUAGAUUUGAAGGAGAGUAGCGCAUUACGAUCGACGACAGUCGGUUUCAUUGCAGAGAGAUGGUUGGAGCUGACUACGGCAACGGCGAUGGUUACGAGGGCGAGGAAUCUGGGCAUUGUGGAGAUGGAGAAUGCAAAGAGGAACCAAUAAAUACUAUAGAAGUUAGAAGGAAGUUUGCAACAGUGGGUAUUGUGCUAAAUUCAAUCCCUCUUAAUAAUGUCUCUUUUCAGAGAACAUUGGUAGGACACAAUCUAGCAACUUGGUUUGAACCAGUUUCAGGGGUGCUGAGGUGAACUUGAAUGACGAGGACAUUUUCAAGUGUGAUUUGCAUAAUAACUUCCAUUGUUCGAUCAAUGCAUAAUGCACUUAUUCAGAACAAUACUUUACCAAGGAAAUGUAAUCUUUAGAAAGUGAGAGAGUUGCUCUCAAGAUUAAAGUUUUCUUAUGGUAUUUCAAUGAAGGGAUGAUUGUAACUAAAGAUAGUUUGGCUAAAAGACAAUGGCAAGGAAGCACUAAGUGUUGUUUCUGCAAAGCUAGUGAAACUAUUCAUUA